rnacentral:rRNA from 1 species
GACGAACCGAGCGAACGUUGUUCGGAAUCACUGGGCUUAAAGGGCGCGUAGGCGGGUGCUCAAGUCUGUGGUGAAAUCCUCCGGCUCAACCGGAGAACUGCCAUGGAUACUGGGUGUCUCGAGGGUGGUAGGGGUAUGCGGAACUAUCGGUGGAGCGGUGAAAUGCGUUGAUAUCGAUAGGAACUCCCGUGGCGAAGGCGGCUCUCUGGAACGCAACUGACGCUGAGACGCGAAAGCGUGGGGAGCAAACAGG